UAGAGCGGCGGACGGGUGAGUAACACGUGGACAAUCUGCCCCCCGGCCCGGGAUAGCCCAGGGAAACCUGGAUUAAUACCGGAUGAGACGGGACCCGCGAAGGCGGGACCGGGAAGGCGCUGCGGCGCCGCCGGGGGAUGAGUCUGCGUCCCAUUAGCUAGACGGCGGGGUAACGGCCCACCGUGGCGACGAUGGGUAGCCCGGCCUGAGAGGGUGGACGGCCACAUUGGAACUGAGACACGGUCCAGACUCCUACGGGAGGCAGCAGCUAAGAAUCUUCCGCAAUGGGCGAAAGCCUGACGGAGCGACGCCCGCGUGAACGAAGAAGGCCGUGAGGUUGUAAAGUUCUUUCGGGAGGGGGAACAACCGUGGCAGGGAAUGGCCGCGGGAUGACGUGAAUCCCGGAAUAAGCCCCGGCUAACUACGUGCCAGCAGCCGC
rnacentral:rRNA from 1 species